rnacentral:rRNA from 1 species
AGAAUCAACGCUGGCGGCGUGCCUAACACAUGCAAGUCGAACGAGAAAGGGUAGCAAUACCUGAGUAAAGUGGCGCACGGGUGAGUAACACGUGACUAACCUACCUUUUAGUGGGGGAUAACCUAGGGAAACCUGGGCUAAUACCGCAUAAUACCUACGGGUCAAAGCAGCAAUGCGCUGAAAGAGGGGGUCGCGGUCGAUUAGUUAGUUGGCAGGGUAAUGGCCUACCAAGACUGUGAUCGAUAUCCGGCCUGAGAGGGCGCACGGACACACUGGAACUGAAACACGGUCCAGACUCCUACGGGAGGCAGCAGUGGGAAUUUUGCGCAAUGGGGGAAACCCUGACGCAGCAACGCCGCGUGGAGGAUGAAGUCCCUUGGGACGUAAACUCCUUUCGAUCGGGACGAUAAUGACGGUACCGGAAGAAGAAGCCCCGGCUAACUUCGCGCCAGCAGCCGC